GCAUUAUUGAAGGGGAUGUAUUCAAGUGACUAAAAGGACCAAUUCCAGCUGCGGUUUUCAAUCUAGGAAAUCUGAAGGAUCUGAGGAUCUCUGAUAUGCCUGGACCAGACUUCAAAUUUCCAAAUCUGAGCAACAUCAACAACAUGGAUAACUUGGUUUUGAGAAACUUGAAUAUGUCUGGCUCUAUCCUGACGGGCAUUUGGAACUGACAACACAAUAGAUCUGUCCUUUAACAAGUUGGGGGAGAAAUUAAUGGCAACAUUCCAGCUCCAAGCGCAGAUUUCAC